rnacentral:rRNA from 1 species
UACGUAGGGGCCUAGCGUUGUCCGGAAUUAUUGGGCGUAAAGAGCUCGUAGGCGGUUCGGCAAGUCGGAUGUGAAAUCUCCACGCUUAACGUGGAGGGGCCAUUCGAAACUGCUGUGACUCGAGUCCGGUAGGGGAGUGUGGAAUUCCCGGUGUAGCAGUGAAAUGCGUAGAGAUCAUGAGGAAGACCAGUGGCGAAGGCGGGUCUCUGGACAGUUCCUGACACUGAGGCACGAAGGCCAGGGGAGCAAACAGG